AUUCAACCGAAGGACUCCAUGUGCUUUAUUCAUCAGAGAGAAUUAUUUUAAAAUAUUUCUUUAACCCAGCCUUUCAAAGUCAUGAAAUAUCUUGCUAUGUGGUUUCAGUGGGUUCCCUAAGACCUAUGAGUAUGUGGAAGUUACCGUUUCUGAUCUAAGUGGAGUAAACACAGCUCCUCUCUGGCCAAAAUCCGUCAUUAUACCAACAGUCAGCCCGUCUUAUUCUCCCUCUGCACCCAUUGCUUCUGAGAAUGAUGCAGAGACACUCAGUGGCAGCUGGAGAACAUCCUUCAGUCUAGCUGCUGUUUUUAGUCUUCUGGUGUUUGCUGUCAUCUCAAUGACACUGCUCGUGUAUUGUCUAAAAACCAGGAAGAAAAAAUCCACAGAUAAAAGUGAAGUCUGUGGUUCUCCUAACACCACACUGGAGCAGGACGGCAUUAUCUACUCUAUGGUGGAGUUUGAGCCCCACCAGGAUCCAUAUGAACUUUAUGCCAAUUUGCAGCUAUACAGCCCAAAAGAUGCUAAUGCUUCUUCAAGCUGUACAGUCACAGUAAAGGAAACCGUAGAAUAUUCCACUAUUAUGAGAUCAUCAGCAUAGACAUUUGCAAUGUUUGUGUUCAAUGUAUUCAUUGCUAUGAUUUGUUUUUGUUGUUGUUGCUUUUGUUUGCUUGAGGGAUUUGUUUCUUACAAGAUUUUUUUAACUAUAUUUUUAAUGCAACAUUGUACUGAUACUGUAGUAAUUAUUUUAUUCUUGAAAAUGUCAUUAUGAUGAUUAAUGCC
ensembl:lncRNA